CACGAACGCUGGCGGCAGGCUUAACACAUGCAGGUCGAGCGCCCCGCAAGGGGAGCGGCAGACGGGUGAGUAACGCGUGGGAAUCUACCCAUCUCUACGGAAUAACGCAUGGAAACGUGUGCUAAUACCGUAUACGUCCUUCGGGAGAAAGAUUUAUCGGAGAUGGAUGAGCCCGCGUUGGAUUAGCUAGUUGGUGGGGUAAAGGCCUACCAAGACGACGAUCCAUAGCUGGUCUGAGAGGAUGAUCAGCCACACUGGGACUGAGACACGGCCCAGACUCCUACGGGAGGCAGCAGUGGGGAAUAUUGGACAAUGGGCGCAAGCCUGAUCCAGCCAUGCCGCGUGAGUGAUGAAGGCCCUAGGGUUGUAAAGCUCUUUCACCGGUGAAGAUAAUGACGGUAACCGGAGAAGAAGCCCCGGCUAACUUCGUGCCAGCCGCCGCCGUAAGAC
rnacentral:rRNA from 1 species